UACGUAGGGUGCAAGCGUUACUCGGAAUUACUGGGCGUAAAGCGUGCGCAGGCGGUUUUGUAAGUCUGUCGUGAAAUCCCCGGGCUCAACCUGGGAAUGGCAAUGGAUACUGGCUCGCUAGAGUGUGAUAGAGGAUGGUGGAAUUCCCGGUGUAGCGGUGAAAUGCGUAGAGAUCGGGAGGAACAUCAGUGGCGAAGGCGGCCAUCUGGAUCAACACUGACGCUGAGGCACGAAAGCGUGGGGAGCAAACAGG
rnacentral:rRNA from 1 species